CGGAGGAUCCAAGCGUUAUCCGGAAUCAUUGGGUUUAAAGGGUCCGUAGGCGGUUUAGUAAGUCAGUGGUGAAAGCCCAUCGCUCAACGGUGGAACGGCCAUUGAUACUGCUAGACUUGAAUUAUUAGGAAGUAACUAGAAUAUGUAGUGUAGCGGUGAAAUGCUUAGAGAUUACAUGGAAUACCAAUUGCGAAGGCAGGUUACUACUAAUGGAUUGACGCUGAUGGACGAAAGCGUGGGUAGCGAACAGGAUUAGAUACCCUGGUAGUCCACGCCGUAAACGAUGGAUACUAGCUGUUGGGAGCAAUCUCAGUGGCUAAGCGAAAGUGAUAAGUAUCCCACCUGGGGAGUACGGGCGCAAGCCUG
rnacentral:rRNA from 1 species